ACAACAGGUCAGAAUCAACACAGUUCAAGAAAAUCCUUUUUUAUUAAAGCCAUUUUAAACAAUGGAAUAGAGCUACAGGAAUGUAUGUGACCAAAACAACUUAAAGACCCUGUAAAGUGAAAAUAAAUCUGUACUUAGGUUUGUUGUAUGACAGCUCACUGUGUUAUGAACCUCCAGAUAAAUGUAACCCAGGGUUUAAUUCCAUUCCCUGUUGAAAUCCAUUCCCUGUUGAAACCCAUUUCCUGUUGAAAUCCAUUUCCUGUUGAAAUCCAUUUCCUGUUGAAAUCCAUUCCCUGUUGAAAUCCAUUUCCUGUUGAAAUCCAUUCCCUGUAGGCCAGUGCUAGUUUUUCACCUAUUCAAGUAAUGAAAUCCAAUCCAUUCCAUUCUAAUCCGGUACUGGUUUUCUACACCUCCCAUAUGCACACCACAUGACAGGUUCACAUGUUCUUAGUUAUCCAAUCACAUCCCUUGGAGGUAAUGUUUAAGCUGCCCUGACUUACUUUCCUUUAGUUGUGUGGGAGAGAAGUCAAGGGACAGCAGCUUACAGGAACCAAAAUAGAUCAUCUUGUGACGGGGGAACUUGUCUUGUCUUGUGCAUUGUGCUUACUGAACUGGCCAGGUGCCCUAUGAAAGGUUUAAAGUGAUGGCGAGCUAGUGAAAUCGGCCUGGAGCUGACCCCGUUCCCUGUUCUGUGUGCAACUAUCCAUGGUCUGGUAGGAGGCUCCUCGGACAUCUAUGCGCUCUCGGACAAUCCACCCUAAACAAUAAACAUAACGGACUAGGUUGUGAUACGUUGCUUCACAUUUGUGGAAGAAAGGACUUUUGGAUUUUGGCGUGUUGAUUGAACUAUUCGUCAGAGACUAUUGAGUUUUCACACUCUUGAACUGUAUUGUAAACCUGCAGUGUUGUAAAUAUUGGGAUCCAAUUUGCACCUUUAAUUUGUAUAAUACACAUCAUAUAACUCAAAUACCCUUUUUACUGGUCUUUAUUUACUGGUCCCUGCCCUCCAGCAGACGUUCUUACUCUUCUGUUUCUAGCCGACACUAUUUACUACCUAUUACAUCUGUUACAUUAUUAUUACACAAUAACAAGCAAACACUGGUUACAUAAAACAUCUCUAUGUUUAUAAAAUUAAACUUCAAAAUCAUGAAAAAUGAGGCAGUAAAAUCUGCUCCAGGAUGGUGUGGGCGUGUCUGCUGGAUGAGCUGAAGCCACACCCACUCAGGAGAUAUAUGAUCCUCCCAGAUUAAAAAAAUGCUACAGUCUGAUUGGAGGAAAGCUUUCAUGCUAUUAGCCCCACCCCUUGACCUUACAUUGACCUCAUGAUCAGAGCAAAUCUGCCUGGCUCUGUGCCAGAGAAGAGACAAAGUCUGUUUUCUGGCUCAAAUCUCUGUUCUGAUGCUUUAAAUCAGUGGUUGUGAGGCGGGCCACCCCUGAGGGGAGGCGCAGAGCCAUAAACCAGACAAAAGGUGAUCUGCUGUGCAUGGAGCAAAAUGGAUAAACUUAUAGUUACUUAUGGAGCAGUGUUACUCAACCAAAGAGCCAAAUUAUUGAAAAUACC